CCUACGGGAGGCAGCAGUGAGGAAUAUUGGUCAAUGGACGCAAGCCUGAACCAGCCAUGCCGCGUGCAGGAAGACGGCUCUAUGAGUUGUAAACUGCUUUUGUACGAGGGUAAACGCAGAUACGCGUAUCUGUCUGAAAGUAUCGGACGAAUAAGGAUCGGCGAACUCCGUGCCAGCAGCAGCGGUAAUACGGAGGAGUCAAGCGUUAUCCGGAUUUAUUGGGUUUAAAGGGUGCGUAGGCGGUCGGAUAAGUUAGAGGUGAAAUCCCGAGGCUCAACUACGGAAUUGCCUUGGAUACUGUUCGGCUAGAGAGUAGUUGCGGUAGGCGGAAUGUAUGGUGUAGCGGUGAAAUGCUUAGAGAUCAUACAGAACACCGAUUGCGAAGGCAGCUUACCAAGCUACUUCUGACGUUGAGGCACGAAAGCGUGGGGAGCAAACAGGAUUAGAUACCCCUGUAGUC
rnacentral:rRNA from 1 species